GGCCCAAAUUUGAAGUAUAGUAGAUUAGUAAGGCCAGCUGUUACUACUAAUCUACUCUGCUUCGAAUUUGGGCCC
rfam:Haemonchus contortus, ISE/inbred ISE, WGS project CAVP01000000 data, contig: Hcontortus_1783